ensembl:lncRNA
UGGUGAGGAAGGGCAGGGGAGGGGAAAUCCCGGGCCAGGAAAUGGGGGCAAGUGGCGCGGGCGGCCAGGAGGGAGCAAAUGGACUGUUCCUGAGGGGCAGCUGAGCGCGGGGACCCGGAGACUAGGACCCACACCCCCUCGGAGCAGGAGAGCGAGAACACCACUCUCCCUCGGAAAGGGCGCCCCGCCCCAGCCUCCGUCCGUGCGGUCGCCAACAGUCCUCCUAGGGCCAGUCGCUCCCAGAGAUAGAGGCUGGACGGAGCCCUCAUCCCACCGCGUCUCCUCCCCUUAGACCACGGAGGUUGUGCACCUAUAGGCCCUUGGCGUUGCGGCGUCCCGGGGAAGAGGGGGUCACCUUGUAAUUGCUACCUCCCUUCGCUCCGAAAAUGCCAUUUCCGGACGCUUCUGCCAGGUUUGAAAGCCUCAUUUCUAAUCCUUCAGCCAGGCUCCCGCCUCCAGAGGGCCGAGGCUCGGUGCUAGACCUUCCCAGGAUUCCAGAUCCCACCCCAGCGGCGCCAACCUGCGGCUGGGCGGUCGGCGAUGCGGCUGGAGGCGCGCGGAAUCCCGAGGUGCCGCGACCCUCCUCCGGACGCCAACUCUGCGGCUCCGGCUCGGCCGCCUCCCGGCCUGGCGACCUUCCUGCCCUCCUGCCCACAACCAGGCCAGCGCCCGGGACUGGGAGCUCCACCCCGCGCGCAGCCGGGAGGCGAAAGUGCUGAUCCCCAGCCGAGCACCGCGGGAUGCACGCCGUCGGGGGCCGCCGCGUUGGCCCAGGGCCAGGGAGCCCUAGAUAGGACUCCGUGUGUUCCGCGCAGUCCUAAAUACAUCCGGAGUUGGGAUCGAGGCGCGUAACGGAGGCAAAUCCUUCCGCCACGACUUCUCCAGCCACCCCAGUCCCCAGGAGACGUGGUCCCACUGCAGUGCGCACUCUCUCCCUGGAGCCGCAGCAACUUGUGGAGCCUCAUUCCCCCUGGUUCACAUCAGAGCUCAGGAUCCCGGCUCACCAGGGCCAAGGAGCUAACGGAUUGACGAAGAGGUAAGAGGUUUAACGAGUAGAAACUUGGACGCUCUUCCUUUUUAUUGUUUCAAAGGACAGGGUCCCUGGAUAUUGACUCCUCGCUCCAGAAGAGUUUCGGGCAUUCUGACCAGUCCUUUCGAGUCCAGUGGGGCGGGGGCUUCCACCGUAGGUUAAGGAGUAACUUUCCAGGAUGGUAGAGGCUCAGGAGUUCAUGGUUAUUAUUCUCAUUAUUGUUACUCAUUAUUAUCCAGUUAAUUUGGGAUUAAACCCUCACCUCCACUCCUGCCGAGACAGCCUUGCACAGUAGCCCGGAAUGAAAAGGGGGUGACUCAGAGCUGCCCCAAGAUGGGGUGGGGUGGGGGAGCUUUGGCCUUAAUUACCCCUGCAAGGUAGAGGCUCUUUUCCUAUAACUAGGGCUGAGGUGGGGACAGAAGGAGGAAGAAUGGAAAGUGGGCUGAGGGCAGCCACUUUGGCAUCUUCCUAAGAAAGCCCCACUGCUCUUGGACCUACUCCUUACAGACAGUGGUAAGAGAGGAGCACUAACCUGGGUACUUUCACAGGAGGUGGACCUGGUAAGCAUCCAGUUAUCAGCUAAACAGAAAAAAGUGAAGACCUAACUGAUCAUAUUUGGUCUCAGAAUUUUCCAGAUACUAAGUUCUCUGAUGAGUCCAAAUAGGAGUUGUUAACCUGAUGAUCAAGGACUCUGAAGUCCCCUGAAAUUGUGGGAUUUCAUGGCUCUACAAGAAAGCCUUCAUCAUCUCCUGAGAAGCCCUGGGAGGAGAAGAAGCAAGGGUGGCAUGGGGAAAGGAGGCGAGAGGCCCCACCUGCAGUCUAGUGUCCUAGACACUGAGCUCUGGACACUCAUCCACAUACUGCCAAAAUGGAGCAUGCAGAUUUGCCAGUCAGCCAUGGAGGCAGAUUUUCUUCACUGCUUUCAGGACAGGUCGGGGUGCCUAAGCAGAUUACAAAUCUGGAUGUUUUCCUUUCAGUUAUUCUUGAUUUGGGAGCUCUGGGGCCCUUAGGGCAGUAAAGCAGGAGAAGAACCUGUCCCUUGAUCUCACCUCCACCUGGUAAACAGUCCAGCAUCCCCAGCCGGCUGGGUCAGGGGUCAAACCUGCCCCACCAAGUCUCAGUCUGUGCCAGGCUUGGCCCAUCAACCCUGUCAGCUCUGAGGGCUCAUUUCUCUGUGAGCCCAGGUCUGCUCCCUCCACACCUGGCCACCUGAAUAACUACAGCAAUUUUUCUUCUUUUUCCUAUUUUUUGAAAACUGCAGAAGCUGCAAAUCCUUAGCUCCUCUUGAGGAAGAUGGUGCCUUUGGAUCUUGGGAUGAGGGGCAUUGUGGAAUCAAAUUAACCUCUAAAGCAUUGCAGGGCAGGGUCUCCUAGAGGACUUGGUGCUUCAGAUCAGUUCUGGGUGCUGCCUGGAUGGGUCAAAUAGUCCCUGCUGUCCAUAGGGUCGCACAGACUCGGACACCACUGAAGCAACUUAGCAUGCAUGCAUGCAUGGAUUCUUCUGUCUUUCUAUGUUUGAGAAGAAGACAAAACCCAAGAGUAAGAGAGUGAUCAGGGAGGAGAAAAUGAGGGAGAGAUUACAACAGAUUCAAGUAAUCAACUUCUCUUUCUAAUCCAACAGCAUCUGAAGCCUGAUGCUUGUUUUAAUCAGGCCAGGAAGAGAAGUUGGAGGCAGGGUAGGUGAGAGACCAAGUUCUCAGCUGACUGAGCCGUGGGGUCAGUGCCUCUGAGGCAGUGAGAAGGCAGAACCAUCCUCUGGGGAUGGUAGGGGUAGGGGUCUGGGUCUCCUCAACUGCAGUGUGGAAGAGUGUGGGGCUCUUAAGGGUCUCCAAGGUCUCCUGUGUUGCCUUGCCUGGGUCUAGUAAAGUCUUUCCUUGCAUUUCCUCUGGGGCACACUGCUUGUUUGGGGGGUAUGUGUGUAUAGAGGUAGUGGCUCUAAAUCCUGGCAGAUGGCUAAGAGCAACUGCCUCCCUGGGAGCCCAGGGAGGUAUGAUUGAGAGUAGAAAAAUGCUUCAUUUUUCUAGGCUAGGGGAGUGAGGAGGCCUCUCUGGACUUGGAGCCAAGUGCUCCAGAGUCUAGGGAAAUGGAGGGGCUGCAGCUCCAAAGGGGGAUUUAGAGGAAAGGUCAUAUCAGGAAAAGCCCUGAACGCCCUAUUGACUACAGUGUUAUAAAGGAGUUUCCACCAAACUCCCUUCGUCCAAGAACCCGGACUUUCUCUAAGGGAACAACUCCUCACCAUUAUGGGUCUUUGUGCUUCUACUAAUACUAGAAAGUACGAUUCUGUGCUAUAUGUUUCCACAUUUAACAUACAUGGAAUAUGUGAAAUAUACUGUGUACCAUUCUUUUUUUAAGGGGAGUGUAUAUAGGUGAAAAUAUGAAUUUCCUGUCUGCUACCUUUAUUGCUGAGCACAGUUGGGAAAACAUCAUUUCCUGUCUCUUUUGCAUGUUUUCAUGAAUCCUCUAUCCUCAACCUUUACAGGACGGCUUAAUACUCUGAGAGGCACAGUUGCCCUGACCCAGGAUUGCUCUCUGACUCCUAAGAGUUACCAAGUCCUAGAAGACCUUGAAAUACCCACCAUGCAGCCCCUUUAUGCCUGCUUUUCUCUACAUGCCUUUUCAGAGGCGAGUAAUUUUUAUUGGCCCAGUCCAUACAGAUUGAGAUCCCUUCUCUGACUUCUGCCCCCUCUCAUAAACAAGCCCCUGGACAAAAAUGCAUACGCAUCAUUUUGUGAAUGUGAAUUUCUAGUAAGAUGGCGGCGCCUGGCAUCCCUUCAGAUUCAGACACAGGCUCUCCCAGGCAGAAGGCCCUGGGAGGCUGCCGCACAGUCCGGAGGGCAACGAAAUCUUGGUCCCCUCCCUACGUGGAAACAGAGUCUGAAGCGAGACUCCCCCCAAACAUUCUCCCUUCAUCCUUUCUAGGGGGCUGCUGCAGUGAGAGCUGAGUCUGCAUCUUGGGGGCCUGCAGGCUCCCAUCCGAAAGCAGCGUUUUAGGCCAAUUUCUAAUUUCUGUGGAGAAAGAAUAACCACUGUCCCUUUCCAAGCGACCCCUACCCACAAGACCGGUCGGGGCCGCGGGUCCUUGACACUCUCUCUCUCCUCUUGGUAUCCGGGACUCUGAACCGGGAGACCCCGCGGAGAGGGCCCAAGGCUGCACUCGGCAGCGGGGAGCCAGCGGCGCGCGCGGGAAGGAUGGGAGGCGAUUCUCUGCCCCCUUACACACACCUACGCCUGAAGAGCGAGUCGGGCGGGAGCCAGCGGGGGUUGGGGAGCAGGAGUUGCGGGUACGCCCCAGACCCCACCCGGGACGCUGGAUCGGUCCAGAGCUCAAGAUGGUGACUGCAGCCAUGAAAUUAAGACACUUACUCCUUGGAAGAAAAGUUAUGACCAACCUAGACAGCAUAUUCAAAAGCAGAAACAUUAUUUUGCCAACAAAGGUCCAUCUAGUCAAGGCUAUGGUUUUCCAGUGGUCAUGUAUGGAUGUGAGAGCUGGACUGUGAAGAAGGCUGAGCACCGAAGAAUUUAUGCUUUUGAACUGUGGUGUUGGAGAAGACUCUUGAGAGUCCCUUGGACUGCAAGGAGAUCCAACCAGUCCAUUCUAAGGAGAUCAGUCCUGGGUGUUCUUUGCAAGGAAUGAUGCUAAAGCUGAAACUCCAGUACUUUGGCCACCUCAUGUGAAGAGUUGACUCAUUGGAAAAGAC